GUCGGGUGUGAAGGGAUGUCACAGAGUGGACUCCAUCAGCUGGGAGACAAGUUAAUAGUGGUAAUAGUACUAACUAUGUCAUACUGGACCUUGCCAAGUGCCAGCAAUGGUAAGCUCUGAGUUUUUUUUUAUUAGAAUGUUUUAUUGCCAAAGUAGAUCAAGCUGUCAGAAAAAUUGAAGCAGUACAGUGACAUAUGUAGAAAAAUCUCACAUCAGCCUUCCUGCAAGGCCUGACUCCCUCCCAGGACUGAUGGGCAAAGGUGUUAUCCUCCUAGGCACCAGUACAGUUAAUUCUUCAGAUGCUAUUAGGAGGCUCAGAGAGGUUGUGCCAUUUGCCUAAGGUCCCCAGCUCGUUAGCAGUUGCAGGCCCAACAGGGUUUAAGUUGUGUCUCUAAGCUCUGCUUGGAGUCCUGAGCUGCCCAGCCCAACUCUCCUGUUCUCUCCUCUCCUGGUGGCACCUGCCAGCCUGCAGCAGACAAAUAUCUAGUAGGACCUCUGAGUCCGCUGCCGCAGAGAGGGCAGGUGAUUUGUCCAAUCACACAAUGACUCAAUGGCUGAGACAGGACCGCAAGGACGGCAAUCGGUGUCUACAACUUGACAGUUUAUGAAGUUCCCUAGCGUCUACUUCAUUCAUUCAUUCAUCCAUCCAUCCAUCCAUCCAUCCCUUAAACACCCUCCAGGCCUUCCAAGGCCGCCCCACACCAAGGCCAGUGGCUGGAGGAGACUUGAGGUAAAAGUGAAAGGAUGUUGGGCAGCGUGACAACAGUGGGACAGAGGGGAGUCACACUGCCCUGGGCUCAUACCACGUGUGAUCCUGAACAAAGUCCCUCGGCCUCAGUCUCCUCAUCUGCAGAAUGGGAUGAUCACACGGCACAGACCAAAGGAGCACAAAGAGGGUGAAACGGGCCCACCACCCACGGGUUGUUCAGGACAGGCCUGGCCCGGGGGAAGCGCUCCCUAAUGGUGGCUUCUGUAAGCACUGCCAAUGGGCAGCGGUUCCGGGGACUGGGGACAGGAGGGCUUGCCCACCAGCCAGGGAGGGACUCCCUCUUCGCCAUUUACAGACCAAGGAGGGAAGGUGGCCUCCAGAGGUCAGGGACACCUGGUUAGCCUGACCCCAGAGGUCAGGCUCUGGGCCCAGGAGGGUCGGGGACAGGAGGUCAGGUCUUCCAGGGCCACCCCCUGGCCUAGUCACUCUGUACCCCC
rnacentral:lncRNA from 1 species